rnacentral:rRNA from 1 species
UACGUAGGCAGCGAGCGUUGUUCGGAAUUACUGGGCGUAAAGAGUGUGUAGGCGGUGUUCCCAGUCUGUUGUGAAAUCUCCCGGCUUAACUGGGAGGGUGCAGCGGAAACUAGAAUGCUAGAGGGUGGGAGAGGUAAGCGGAAUUCCUGGUGUAGCGGUGAAAUGCGUAGAUAUCGGGAAGAACACCAGUGGCGAAAGCGCUCUACUGGGCCGAUAACUGACACUGAGGGACGAAAGCUAGGGGAGCGAAAGGG